rnacentral:lncRNA from 1 species
CACUCAACCACACACACACUAGACAGAGCAUAGAGUGCGCACACACACACUCAUAGCCACACACCACGCAGUGACACACACUCAUAACUACAUACCACACACAACACAUAGCACACACACAUAGCCACACACCACACAUUCACACACACUCAUAGCCACACACCACACACACACUAGACAGAGCACACACACUCAUAGCCACACACCACACACACACUCCACAGAGCACACACACACUCAUAGCCACACACCACACACACACUCCACAGUGCACACACACACUCAUAGCCACACGCCACACACUCACACACUCUACAGAGCACACACACACUCAUGGACACACACCACACACACAAUCACACACACAUAACCACACACCACACACACUAGACAGAGAACACACACACUCAUAACCACACACCACACACUCACACACUCAACCACUCACACACUAGACACAGCAUAGAGUGUGCACACACACACUCAUAGCCACACACCACGCAGUGACACACACUCAUAACUACAUACCACACACAACACAUAGCACACACACAUAGCCGCACACCACACAUUCACACACACACAUACAUCACACAGCCACGCAUCCUACAUUCACACACAUACCACACAGCACAUACACACUCAUAGCCACACAUCAUACAUUCACACAGACACAUUACACAUAACACACUCACACUCUCAUAGCCACACACUACAUGUUCACACUCACUACACACACUCACACUGUAGCCACACACCACACACACACCACACACGUAUCACACAACAUACAUUGCACCCUUACACACACCUCAGACACACACCACACAUACUUCACACGCUCAAACAUCAGAGUCAUACAACACACAUCAUACACUCACACAUUCAUUCAUACAUAUAUUCAUACUCACACACUCUUGCCCCCACACACAUCACGUUCAUUCACUCAUAUUCCCCUUCUCUGUCUCUCCAAGACAGCCCCAGGCCUCAAGCCCAGUGCAUGGUGGAGCCCAGCUGUGUGACAGCUCUG